rnacentral:piRNA from 1 species
UGACUUUAGCAGCUUACAGCAUUA